rnacentral:rRNA from 1 species
AAACUAACAAGGAUUCCCCUAGUAACGGCGAGCGAAGCGGGAAGAGCUCAAAUUUGAAAGCUGGCACCUUCGGUGUCCGCGUUGUAAUCUCGAGACGUGUUUUCCGUGUGGCGCUAUGGACAAGUCCCUUGGAACAGGGCAUCGUAGAGGGUGAAAAUCCCGUACUUGCCAUGGAUGUACCAUGCUUUGUGAUACACGCUCUAAGAGUCGAGUUGUUUGGGAUUGCAGCUCAAAAUGGGUGGUAGACUCCAUCUAAAGCUAAAUAUCGGGGAGAGACCGAUAGCGAACAAGUACCGUGAGGGAAAGAUGAAAAGCACUUUGGAAAGAGAGUUAAAAGUACGUGAAAUUGUCGAAAGGGAAGCGCUUGAAGUCAGCCAUGCUGCUUGAGACUCAGCCUUGCUUUUGCUUGGUGUAUUUCUCGGUAGCAAGCCAGCAUUGGUUUGAGUCGUCGGAGAAGGGUAUGAGAAAUGUGGCAUCCUCGGAUGUGUUAUAGGCUUGUACUGGAUACGACGAUUUGGAUCAAGGAACGCAGUGUGCCUCUGGCGGGUCUUCGGACACCUUCACACUUAGGAUGCUGGCGUAAUGGCUUUAAGCGGC